CCAAAAUUCAAAAUUUGAACAUUUGGACAACAUGAUUGUAUGGGGGCUUGUCCAUUAACUAAUGUGCCCGUGCCCGUGCCCUAAACAAGGGGUUGCCCUCUACACUUGGGCAAAAAAUUAAAACUCUUUUCGACAUAGCUAGCCUUUCUCUCUAUCGUCGACAACUUUCUUCCUUGGCCUUUCUCUCUAUCGUCGACAACUUUCUUCCUUGGCCUUUCUCUCGACAACUUGUAUUCAACAAAAUCAUUCCUCUACAAACCGCAACCCCGACCACGACCACGACCAUCACUCUUAGACAAACCCCGACCCCGACCGCAACCAUCACUCUUCGACAAUGCUAAGAUUAGAGCCAACUUUGCUUCAAGGGUUCUUCAAAUCGCUUCCCUUCCCAUCCCAUCGCUUCAGGGUUAUUCCCUUCCCAUUGCUGUAGGGUUCUUCAGAUCUAUUGGCGGUGGUGAUUGUUGCUUUAUUUGGUUGCUUGUGGCUUCGAUUGGCUUCGGCGGUAGUGUUGGAUUCGAUUUGGCAAUGGUUGUAGCUUUGCAGGCGGUGGUUGGUCUCGUGAGAGUUUGAAAUUGAGUUCUGGCGACUGUAGAUCUGAAUCGAACUCUCAAAUCAAUUUUGUUAUGAGGUAGCAUAGUAGGUUUGUCUGGGUUUUGAGAUUGGAAAUCUAAAUUUCUUUGAUUUCCCCAGAAUUUUAUCUCUGCUACCAUUUCUGUACAACAUUCUCCAUUGGCUAAUCAUACCAACCCACACAAUGACUUUAGGUACCUUUCCUUCAACAACGACGAGGCCAGAUCCCCAUUCAUUCUUUGCUGAAUUCGAAAUCCUCAAUUUUCUAGGGUUUCAAUUUUCAACCUCAAUUUCCUGUUGUUCUGAUAUCUGUUUUGUUUGAUAGUUUGUACUGAUUUGGUUCGCGGUGCCAAGGACAAGAGGCUUAGGGUGAAGGGACCAGUGAGGAUGCCUACCAAGGUUCUGCACAUUACCACCAGGAAGUCUCCCUGUGGAGAAGACAAAGUUUGACCCUGUGAGUAUAGGCUGUAUAGCUAUUUACUUGCUGCCAACUGGGAAUGUUUUGUGCCUUCAUUGGAUAUCGUGUGCAGAAAUAUGACAUUUCUACCUGGGAGAACCUCUUACGGUGUAAAAUUUCUCCUUAACAGGAGUUCUGGAGGUGUAUGGGACGUUGCUGCAUAAAUUGUUUACCUCUGAGCCUUGAUGCUCGAUGAUUUCACUCUCUUUAUGGCGUGCAAGUGAAAACAUAAAUGUGGUUUUGCUCAUAUUUUCAUAAGAGCAUUGCAGAUUAGCUUGGAGAGAGCUUGGACAACAACUUCAACUUCAACUGUUAUUUGGCUAUGUCAAGAAUGCCAAACUUUGAUUGAAGACCAUGAUAAGAUAAAGCUUCUCAGCAAUGCGAGGAAUAACUUGAAUACAACCUUAAAGCAGUAAGGCAGCGGUGGAUUCUGAGAAUGCUGUAGCUGCCGUAAAUGUAAGUACUUGGAGCACCAAAUGAGAGUAUUUGGCUGCUGUAUAAUUAGCACAACAACUUCCUGUAUUUGGGGCACUGCAAUAUCCUAGAACUCUUUCAAUGAGGAAGCCCCAUUACUGUUCUUUAGGCCAUGGAGAGUGCCAAUGUUAUGAAGUGAAGCCUACUUUUGAAGACAAAAGCUACGAAGAGCAGGAGAUCAGUGAAUAGAACUUGACUUGGAUUUUUUUCUGUUCUCUUAUUUUGUAGAUACAAUUGCAUUAUCAGACCCAUUUAGAUUGUUAUGGGAUUAUAACAACUAUCUAUUAUGAUUAAUUUUAUGUUCUUUUGGUCAAUUUCA